rnacentral:rRNA from 1 species
UACCGAAUAAGAUCCUUUUGCUAUGGCGGAAGGAUGAAAGGGGCUUCGGCCUCGCCGAGAGAUGAGUCUGCGUAUGAUUAGCUAGUUGGUGUGGUAAAGACGCACCAAGGCGACGAUCAUUAGCCGGCCUGAGAGGGUGACCGGCCACAUUGGGACUGAGACACGGCCCAGACUCCUACGGGAGGCAGCAGCUAAGAAUCUUCCGCAAUGGGCGAAAGCCUGACGGAGCGACGCCGCGUGGGUGAAGAAGGCCGAGAGGUUGUAAAGCCCUUUUCUUACAGAAGAAUAAGUCCUUGAGGUAAUGCGGGGAUGAUGACGUUAUGUGAGGAAUAAGCACCGGCCAAUUACGUGCCAGCAGCCGCGGUAACACGUAAGGUGCGAGCGUUGUUCGGAAUUAUUGGGCGUAAAGGGCUUGUAGGCGGSCUGCCAAGUCUCACGUGAAAGACCA